rnacentral:misc_RNA from 1 species
AAGUCGUAACAAGGUAACCGUAGGUGAACCUGCGGUUGGAUCAUUAAUGAUUUUAUUAAUGGGUGAUAAAAUUCUAUUUACCUAGAACUUUUGGAUCCCUGAACCUAAUGUGAAUUGUUAAAGUCUCUGGCGAGACUUUGAGCUCGCCAGUAUUAUUAUCUCAACAUGUUUAGUAGUACCUAGUCUUAUUUUUAAUAAAACUAAUAUGAAACAACUUUUGACAACGGAUCUCUUGGCUCUC